rnacentral:rRNA from 1 species
GACGAACGCUGGCGGCGUGCUUAACACAUGCAAGUCGAACGGAAAGGCCCUGCUUUUGUGGGGUGCUCGAGUGGCGAACGGGUGAGUAACACGUGAGUAACCUGCCCUUGACUUUGGGAUAACUUCAGGAAACUGGGGCUAAUACCGGAUAGGAGCUCCUGCUGCAUGGUGGGGGUUGGAAAGUUUCGGCGGUUGGGGAUGGACUCGCGGCUUAUCAGCUUGUUUGUGGGGUAGUGGCUUACCAAGGCUUUGACGGGUAGCCGGCCUGUGAGGGUGACCGGCCACAUUGGGACUGAGAGACGGCCCAGACUCCUACGGGAGGCAGCAGUGGGGAAUAUUGCACAAUGGGCGGAAGCCUGAUGCAGCAACGCGGCGUGCGGGAUGACGGCCUUCGGGUUGUAAACCGAUUUCGCCUGUGACGAAGCGUGAGUGACGGUAAUGGGUAAAGAAGCACCGGCUAACUACGUG